GCCAGGUGCAGUGGCGUGCAUCUGUAAUCCCAGCGUUUUGGGAGGCUGAAGCAGGAUUGCUAGUUCAAUGCCAGCCUCAGCAAUUUAGUGAGACCUUGUCUCAA
rnacentral:sRNA from 1 species